rnacentral:rRNA from 1 species
UCGGGAAUAUUGCGCAAUGGAGGAAACUCUGACGCAGUGACGCCGCGUGCAGGAAGAAGGUUUUCGGAUUGUAAACUGCUUUAGACAGGGAAGAAACAAGACAGUACCUGUAGAAUAAGCUCCGGCUAACUACGUGCCAGCAGCCGCGGUAAUACGUAGGGAGCAAGCGUUAUCCGGAUUUAUUGGGUGUAAAGGGCGCGUAGACGGGAAUGCAAGUUGGUUGUGAAAUCCCUCGGCUCAACCGAGGAAUUGCAACCAAAACUAUAUUUCUUGAGUGCUGGAGAGGAAAGUGGAAUUCCUAGUGUAGCGGUGAAAUGCGUAGAUAUUAGGAGGAACACCAGUGGCGAAGGCGACUUUCUGGACAGUAACUGACGUUGAGGCACGAAAGUGUGGGAGCAAACAGGAUUAGAUACC